GAUGAACGCUAGCGGCGUGCUUAACACAUGCAAGUCGAACGGAAAGGCCAGUGCUUGCACUGGUACUCGAGUGGCGAACGGGUGAGUAACACGUGGGUGAUCUGCCCUGUACUUCGGGAUAAGCUUGGGAAACUGGGUCUACUACCGGAUAGGACAACUUUUUGGAUAUUGUUGUGGAAAGCUUUUGCGGUAUGGGAUGAGCUCGCGGCCUAUCAGCUUGUUGGUGGGGUAAUGGCCUACCACGGCGUCGACGGGUAGCCGGCCGGAGAGAGUGUACGGCCACAUUGGGACUGAGAGACGGCCCAGACUCGUACGGGAGGCAGCAGUGGGGAAUAUUGGACAAAGGGCGCAAGCCUGAUGCAGCGACGCCGCGUGGGUGAUGAAGGCCUUCGUGUUGUAAACACCUUUCGCGAGGGACGAAGCUUUUUUGUGACGGUACCUGGAGAAGAAGCACCGGCUAACUACGUG
rnacentral:rRNA from 1 species